CGCGUAGGCGGUUCCGAAAGUGGCGUGUGAAAUCCCCCGGCUCAACCGGGGAAGUGCACGCCAAACUUCGGUUCUCGAGGACGGUAGGGGGGACUGGAACUCUCGGUGGAGCGGUGAGAUGCGUAGAUAUCGAGAGGAACACCGGCGGCGAAGGCGAGUCCCUGGUCCGUUUCUGACGCUGAGGCGCGAAAGCGUGGGUAGCAAACA
rnacentral:rRNA from 1 species